rfam:Epulopiscium sp. AS2M-Bin001 AS2M_MBin01_83, whole genome shotgun sequence.
AAGAACUAAUAAUCUAAACGAUCGAAUGAGAGGGUAACGCCUUGAAAGGUCGUCCAUAAUACUCCGAAU